UACGGAGGAUGCAAGCGUUAUCCGGAAUCAUUGGGCGUAAAGCGUCCGUAGGUGGCUUUUCAAGUCUGCCGUCAAAGACCGGGGCUUAACCCCAGAAAGGCGGUGGAAACUGAAUAGCUAGAGUGCGGUAGGGGUAGAGGGAAUUCCCGGUGUAGCGGUGAAAUGCGCAGAUAUCGGGAAGAACACCCGUGGCGAAGGCGGCUCUCUGGGACGGUACUGACGCUGAGACGCGAAAGCGUGGGGAGCGAACAGG
rnacentral:rRNA from 1 species